GACGAACGCUGGCGGCGUGCUUAACACAUGCAAGUCGAACGGUAAGGCCCUUCGGGGUACACGAGUGGCGAACGGGUGAGUAACACGUGGGUGAUCUGCCCUGCACUUCGGGAUAAGCCUGGGAAACUGGGUCUAAUACCGGAUAGGACUCCUGCCUGCAUGGGUGGGGGUGGAAAGCUUUUGCGGUGUGGGAUGGGCCCGCGGCCUAUCAGCUUGUUGGUGGGGUGAUGGCCUACCAAGGCGACGACGGGUAGCCGGCCUGAGAGGGUGACCGGCCACACUGGGACUGAGAUACGGCCCAGACUCCUACGGGAGGCAGCAGUGGGGAAUAUUGCACAAUGGGCGCAAGCCUGAUGCAGCAACGCCGCGUGAGGGAUGACGGCCUUCGGGUUGUAAACCUCUUUUAGCAGGGAAGAAGCGAAAGUGACGGUACCUGCAGAAAAAGCACCGGCUAACUACGUGCCAGCCGCCGCUGUAA
rnacentral:rRNA from 1 species